GUCUGUGAUGCCAUUAGAUGUUCUGGGCCGCGCGCUACACUGAUGUAUUCAACGAGUCUAUAGCCUUGGCCGACAGGCCCGGGUAAUCUUUGAAAUUUCAUCGUGAUGGGGAUAGAUCAUUGCAAUUGUUGGUCUUCAACGAGGAAUUCCUAGUAAGCGCGAG